rnacentral:rRNA from 1 species
CUACGGGUGGCAGCAGUGGGGAAUAUUGGACAAUGGGCGAAAGCCUGAUCCAGCCAUGCCGCGUGUGUGAAGAAGGCCUUCGGGUUGUAAAGCACUUUCAGUGGGGAAGAAAGCCUUGGGGCUAAUACCCUCGAGGAAGGACAUCACCCACAGAAGAAGCACCGGCUAACUCCGUGCCAGCAGCCGCGGUAAUACGGAGGGUGCGAGCGUUAAUCGGAAUUACUGGGCGUAAAGCGCGCGUAGGCGGUCUGAUAAGCCGGUUGUGAAAGCCCCGGGCUCAACCUGGGAACGGCAUCCGGAACUGUCAGGCUAGAGUGCAGGAGAGGAAGGUAGAAUUCCCGGUGUAGCGGUGAAAUGCGUAGAGAUCGGGAGGAAUACCAGUGGCGAAGGCGGUCUUCUGGACUGACACUGACGCUGAGGUGCGAAAGCGUGGGUAGCAAACAGGAUUAGAUACCCCGGUAGUC